CAGCAGCCGCGGUAAUACGGAGGAUCCAAGCGUUAUCCGGAUUUAUUGGGUUUAAAGGGAGCGUAGGUUGACAUAUAAGCAGCUGUGAAAGUUUACGGCUCAACCGUGAAAUUGCAGUUGAUACUGUAUGUCUUGAGUGUACAAGAGGUGGGCGGAAUUCGUGGUGUAGCGGUGAAAUGCUUAGAUAUCACGAAGAACUCCAAUUGCGAAGGCAGCUCACUGGGGUACAACUGACACUGAGGCUCGAAAGUGUGGGUAUCAAACAGGAUUAGAUACCCUGGUAGUCCACACAGUAAACGAUGAAUACUCGCUGUUUGCGAUAUACAGUGAAGCGGCCAAGCGAAAGCAUUAAGUAUUCCACCUGGGGAGUACGCCGGCAACGGUGAAACUCAAAGGAAUUGACGG
rnacentral:rRNA from 1 species